AAGUGCGGAGAGGAUAACUGCUGAAAGCAUAUAAGUAGUAAGCCCACCCCAAGAUGAGUGCUCUCUCCUCCGACUUCCCUAGAGCCUCCGGUAUCAUAGCCGAGACAGCGACGGGUUCUCCACCCAUACGGGGAUGGAGCGACAGAAGUAUGGAAAUAAGAUAAGGUAGCGGCGAGACGAGCCGUUUAAAUAGGUGUCAAGUGGAAGUGCAAUGAUGUAUGCAGCUGAGGCAUCCUAACGAACGAGCGAUUUGAACCUUGUUCCUACACGGCCUGAUCAAAUCGAUCAGGCACUUGCCAUCUAUCUUCAUUGUUCAAUCUUUGAUGAAAAGAUGAAAAAACCAAAAAAAAGCUCUGCCCUUCCAUCUCUUGGAUAGAUAGAGAGGGAGGGCAGAGGCCUUUGGUGU